GUGUGCUCCACGCAUCAGACAGAGAGAACCCAAACAACUGAACACACUGCCUUCCAUUUGGGAGCCUCAGGGGACACUGGAGAAGAUAUUUUGGAGAAGCAUUAGAGCAGACAGAGUUAGAAGAAAACCUCUGCUGACAGAUUGUGCUCAGAUCCUGGCUCUGCCAAGCUGCAUGACCCUGGACCAGUCAACAAUCGCUUUGGAGAGGAGAAACAAUUACUUUGUAAACUGAAGCAGCGCACUUAAUGAAGGAAGCAGAGAAGCUGCUGUGGAGGCUUUUUGCUAUCUAAUGUGCUCACGCGGUGCCUCAGUUUCUGCAUCUGUAAAUUAAGAUGAUAAUAAUCCCUAUCUCAUAGGGUUGUGCAGAAGAUUAGAUGAGUUAAUAUACAGAAAGCAUUUAAACAGUGCCUGGCGCAUCGUAAGCGCAAUGUAUAAUGGUUUGUUUUCAUCACUACUUUGAUCAUUUAUUUUAAAAUAAAAUGUGCAAUACAUUUUGUAUAGUAAGAAAGGCAGAAAUAGUGAAUUUUGGGAUCAAUUUUUGAGACUAGUUCUGAGAUAUUCAUGGCCUUAGCAUCUAAAAUCUCUUUUACAUUCUCCACAACCUUUCUGAACAUACUUAGUUUGUAAAAUCAGAUUGGACAUUUUACAGGAAUAGCUUUUCUCAUGGAAUUUCAGUACUUUCAGUUCCAUUCUAGCUGGAGUCUAAAAUACUGUUGCAUGCGGAUUUUAAAAUUAUGUGAAAACAACAUGAUCCAAGCUUAUUUUUUAUUCAUUUUCAGGAAAAGUAUUGUUGGUUCACGUGUGGAAUAAAAGCAAAGCUAAUAGUUAUUUGAUAUCACUGGAGUAUGAAUCAAUCACCCCCAAAACAGGGCAACAUACAGUGAGCUAUUCCGAUGGCUGGUUGUGAAAAAAAAAAAACCUAGCAAAGCUGUAAAAAUGAUAUAUUAUUUAUUUAAUCAGUGAGUCUAUAAAUCUCAGUUGAGUACUCCCCUAUGCCAGGCAAUAUUCUAGAAAAAGGACACACAGCUCAUGUCCUCCCCAUGGAGCUUACCUACAGGUGUAAGGAGACGGAAAAUAAACAAUAAAACAAAUAAAAUUUUUAUAGAUUUUAUGGUGAGAGUUAUGGAAGAAAUGUACAGGAUGAUAUGACCUACUAGAUACGUGGAAAGGUGGAGGAAUGAUAUUAGAUAGGAUCAUGUGGGAAGGUUUAAGUAGAAACCUGAAAGACCAGAAGAAGACACAGAAUUUGAUGACACUAUAUUAUGAAAAACAGAAUACAGAAACAUUAAGCAUAGAGAGGUAAAUUACCAAAGUCCUUUUUUUUUUCUUUGCUCAUCUUACAUAUAUUUUUUGUUCCUAUCGGUAAAGUUGAUUUGAUUCAAAUGUCAUUAAAAUAGCUUGGACAAAGGUCAAACAUUAUCCAAGAUUCAUGUCUCUUUCUUUCUUUUCAGUAUAAAAGUAAUACUCAUUACAAAAAAAUUUGGAAAAUACAAAUUUUAAAUGAAAUAAAAUUUACUCACAAUCCAAAAACUUAAAUGUAAAUGUUCCUAAUAUGUUGGUCAAGGCCUAAAGCAGAUUUUGUUUUUAAAGUUCUGUUUGUGGUUAUCUAACCUUUAUGAAAUGAGGUUAAACAAAGUAAGUAGCCAACCCAGCUUAGAAAAAAGAGAAGCAGAAGCAGAGGUCAUGCCAAUAUUCAGAGUUUACACAGUAAUAACCAUGUUUUGGAUUAAAAGUUACAAUUGAUUAGAAGCAAACGUUGUAGUAGUUACAACAAUACAGCCAGAGAAAUGUUUGAUUUCAAAUAUUGCCAAAUCUUAUCUCCCUAAUCAAUUGUGCCCACAAGAGAUACAGUCCUAUUCCACUUUGAAAGUAAUAA